UACAGGGGGGGCAAGCGUUGUUCGGAAUUACUGGGCGUAAAGGGUGCGCAGGCGGCGUCGCAAGUCAGGCGUGAAAUCCCCGGGCUUAACCUGGGAACUGCACUUGAAACUACGAUGCUGGAGUAUGGCAGAGGGAGGUGGAAUUCCACGUGUAGCGGUGAAAUGCGUAGAGAUGUGGAGGAACACCGAUGGCGAAGGCAGCCUCCUGGGCCAAUACUGACGCUCAUGCACGAAAGCGUGGGGAGCAAACAGG
rnacentral:rRNA from 1 species